UGAGGGAAUAUUGGGUCAAUGGGCGAAAGCCUGAACCAGCCAUGCCGCGUGAAGGAAUAAGGCCCUAUGGGUCGUAAACUUCUUUUGUAUCGGAGCAAUAAGGGUCACGAGUGAUCCGAUGAGAUUACGAUACGAAUAAGCAUCGGCUAACUCCGUGCCAGCAGCCGCGGUAAUACGGAGGAUGCAAGCGUUAUCCGGAUUUAUUGGGUUUAAAGGGAGCGCAGGCGGUCUUAUAAGCGUGACGUGAAAUGCAGCGGCUCAACCGUAUGAUGUGCGUCGCGAACUGUGAGACUUGAGUGUAUUCGAUGUCAGCGGAAUUUGUG
rnacentral:rRNA from 1 species